GGGGGCGCAUUGGUUUCGACGGGGAUGUUGAAGCCGAAGUGGCAGGCCGAGGCGCCGCUGGCCUCGUUAAAAGCGGCACCAUAGUAAUUGGCAACGAUUACGAAUACGCUUACGCUGCUUAAUUAAGCGGCACACCGAACCGGCUCACGCCCGAUAAGCUGGCAAGGUGUAAAACUAUCGGGCUGGCGUGGCGUUGUGUUUGCCGGGCGACGCGCGAGACUUUACGGUGAACUGGCCGACGGACGCCCUGAUUGGGGGCCAAGCCUGAGGCGAGAUAUGAUACCCAACCUAAGCCUGUAGAUGCUUCGCGUGAAUCUUUCUCGGACGGGGGUUCGAUUCCCCCCGCCUCCACCA
rfam:Bilophila wadsworthia 3_1_6 genomic scaffold acCls-supercont2.1, whole genome shotgun sequence.